CUGCUGGGCAGAAUAUGAAAACCGGUCAUUGGAGGGCCAGAAUCACUGCAGACUUGUUUGCCAGAAGAUAAAGAGAGAUGCUUGCUGCACAACAGUGGUUCAGAAGUGUUUUAAUGAACUAAGAAGAGAUAUACAAUUUGCAAAAGAAAACAACAACAGAGCAAAAACCAUACGGAUGUCUCUCUGCUUGGGCUCUCAUCUUGCCACCUUUCUACUGAACUUAUAUUUUGCCCUCAAGUUAAGUCUUUUUAAUGAUCAUAGCUUAACUCAAUUGCUAAUUAGCUCUUGUCUCCAAAUUGUAUUGUUUUCAACUAAUCUGAAAGAUGAAGAAAAGUUGUCUCCAUACAUCUCUUCAGGUUGGUAUUCCAUGUAACAAACUACCCCAAAAUGUAAUGGCAUAAAACAACAAUUUUAUUAGGUUCAUGGACUGUGUGGGGUAAGAAUUUGGACAGAAUACAGUGGGGAUACUUUGUCUCUGUUCCAUGAUAUAUGGGGUCACAACUUGGGGGUAACUUGACAGUGGGGAGUAACUUACUUGAUG